rnacentral:misc_RNA from 1 species
UCUCCGUAGGUGAACCUGCGGAGGGAUCAUUACAGAGUUCGUGCCCUCACGGGUAGAUCUCCCACCCUAUGUUAUUAUUACUUUGUUGCUUUGGCGGGCCGUUAGGCUCCGGCCCGACUACCGGCCCCGGCUGGUAAGCGCCCGCCAGAGGACCCAAAACCCUGAAUAUUAGUGUCGUCUGAGUACUAUAUAAUAGUUAAAACUUUCAACAACGGAUCUCUUGGUUCUG